UGAUGAUGAUAAUGGCGCUGAUGGUGGCGAUGGCGAUGAUGUCGCUACAGGGCUCCCCCCCCCCUAGCGCGUAGCGCGUUAAGAUGACAGAGCUACGCGCUAGGGGGUGAGCGCUGUAGCGACAUCAUCGCCAUCGUAACCAUCAGCGCCACUAUCA
rnacentral:pre_miRNA from 1 species